rnacentral:rRNA from 1 species
UACGGAAGGGGCGAGCGUUGUUCGGAAUCAUUGGGCGUAAAGGGCGCGUAGGUGGUUCUGUAUGUCUACCGUGAAAGCGUACGGCUCAACCGUAUCUUGUCGGUAGAAACUGCAGGACUUGAGGCUGGGAGGGGCUGGUGGAAUUCCCUGUGUAGCGGUGAAAUGCGUAGAGAUGGGGGAGAACACUCGUGGCGAAGGCGGCCAGCUAGACCAGUUCUGACACUGAGGCGCGACAGCGUGGGGAGCAAACAGG